rnacentral:rRNA from 1 species
GAUGAACGCUAGCUACAGGCUUAACACAUGCAAGUCGAGGGGCAGCAUUAAAGUUUGCUUGCAAACUUUAGAUGGCGACCGGCGCACGGGUGAGUAACACGUAUCCAACCUGCCGAUAACUCGGGGAUAGCCUUUCGAAAGAAAGAUUAAUACCCGAUGGUAUAUUUUCACCGCAUGGUGAAACUAUUAAAGAAUUUCGGUUAUCGAUGGGGAUGCGUUCCAUUAGGCAGUUGGUGAGGUAACGGCUCACCAAACCUUCGAUGGAUAGGGGUUCUGAGAGGAAGGUCCCCCACAUUGGAACUGAGACACGGUCCAAACUCCUACGGGAGGCAGCAGUGAGGAAUAUUGGUCAAUGGGCGCGAGCCUGAACCAGCCAAGUAGCGUGUAGGAUGACGGCCCUAUGGGUUGUAAACUUCUUUUAUAUGGGAAUAAAGUUUGGUAUGUAUACCAUUUUGUAUGUACCAUAUGAAUAAGGAUCGGCUAACUCCGUGCCAGCCGCCGCGGUAACAC